rnacentral:snRNA from 1 species
GUGCUCGCUUCGGCAGCACAUAUACUAAAAUUGGAACGAUACAGAGAAGAUUAGCAUGGCCCCUGCGUAUGGAUGACACGCAAAAACGGGGCCGCAAGACCUCCCAGU